AGGGUCAUAGCUCAGUGCUAGAGCAUCUGCGAUUUGUGCAGAAGGCCGUAGGUUCAAACCCCGGUGUCUCUA